rnacentral:rRNA from 1 species
CCCUUAGAUGUUCUGGGCCGCACGCGUGCUACACUGAUGCAUUCAACGAGUCUAAAACCUGGUCUGAUAGGGCUGGGUAAUCUUUUGAAAGUGCAUCGUGAUUGGGAUAGAUGAUUGCAAUUCUUCAUCUUCAACGAGGAAUGCCUAGUAAACGCAAGUCAUCAGCUUGCAUUGAUUACGUCCCUGCCCUUUGUACACACCGCCCGUCGCUCCUACCGAUCGAAUGAUCCGAUGAAUACCAUGGAUUGAGAGUACGAAUAGGUUCGCUUAUUUCUGCUGCUCGAGAAGUGGAGUAAAUCUUAUCAUUUAGAGGAAGGAGAAGUCGUAACA